GACGAACGCUGGCGGCGUGCUUAACACAUGCAAGUCGAACGGAAAGGCCCUGCUUUUGUUGGGUUCUCGAGUGGCGAACGGGUGAGUAACACGUGAGUAACCUGCCCUUGUCUUUGUGAUAACUUCAGGAAACUGGGGCUAAUACCGGAUAGAAUCUCCUGCUGCAUGGUGGUGGUUGGAAAGUUUCGGCGGUUGGGGAUGUACUCGCGGGUUAUCAGCUUGUUUGUGGGGUAGUGGCUUACCAAGGGUUUGACGGGUAGCCGGCCUGAGAGGGUGACCGGCCACAUUGGGACUGAGAUACGGACCAGAAUCCUACGGGAGGCAGCAGUGGGGAAUAUUGCACAAUGGGCGGAAGCCUGAUGCAGAAACGCCGCGUGCGGGAUGACGGCCUUCGGGUUGUAAACAGAUUUCGCCUGUGACGAAGCGUGAGUGACGGUAAUGGGUAAGGAAGCACCGGCUAACUACGUG
rnacentral:rRNA from 1 species